UGUCAGGUUCUGUUCUUUGUCUUCUCUCCAGAGCAAUAUGGAUCUCCAGAGAGGGAUCUGCUUGCUGGUGGCUCACUGCUGACCUCUUACAAACAGAAGGCAUGAGGCAAGUGUUUAGGUCUGCACCAAUCUGUCUUCCUGACCUUCCACAAUAGUGCUGGACAGUUGCUGUUGCUUGGUGUUUCCCAAGUAACUGGGUAUAUCAUGGCCUUACUAGGCUAAGUCCAAGUUCUUAGUUCUUUCUGCUAAUACUGCCCUGGCCUUCCACAUCUAAAUUUGUCCAACUAAGCUAUUUUCUGAGAGUUAGAGUUCAUCCAGGGAAGCCUGUUUACCCUUUAGCUGAUGCUUGCCAGUGGAUAGCACAAAGCUGUGAGAGAUGGAACACAGCCCACAGCCCAGCCAGAGUAGUAGAGAACUUUCAACUUUGUGCCCCACAUCCUCCUCAUCGUAUUCCUCCUUCCCUCUCCUUGUUCCUCUCUUCCCUUCCUUUUUCUACCUUGUAAUCCCUUUUAAGCUUGAAGCCAUCCACUAUUAUCCAAGAAAAUUUUCCAUAAAGAGUGACAUGUUUGGCACUCAGAGUGUGAUGGCUAUUCUUGGUUGUCAACUUGACUCUAUCUGGAAUGAACUACAAUCCAGAAAUGGAGGGCACAGCUGUGAUCCAGAUCUGGAGGCAGAAAGACACCCCUUUAACCUGGGCCACACCUUCUGCUGGAAGUCUAUAUAAGAACAACAGAAUAAGGAAGAUUUUUGUUCUUUGCCUGCUUGCCCUCGCCUUGCUAGCACAUCCAUUCCUUCACUGGCGUUGGAGCCUGUUUCUUUCAGAUUCCAGCAUAUACUGAAGAUCAGCUGAGACACCAAGACUUGUGUGACUGAGAAACUACUAGAUUCUUACACUUUCCUUUCAUAGCCAUUGCUGGAUUAGUUGGACUGCAGCCUGUAUGUUUGUGCACUAUGUGUAUGCUAUGUCCAUGGAAGCCCAAAGAGGUCAUUGGAUUCCUUUGAACUGGAGUUACAGAUGGCUGUGAAUGGUGGACACUGGAAAUUGAACUUGGGUCUUCUGCAAGAACAGCCGGUACUCUUAGUGACUGAGCCUGGAAUGAGAAAUUGCCCAACCUGGAAUGAGAAGUUCUUUCUGACUCUGGAAAUCCUCUUUGUUUUCUUCGCUUGCUGGAAGCUUGAGGAACCUAGUGAACUUCAGACAGAACCCAGAGAAACAGCAAUAAAAGUGUUCAUAUUGCUGGUAGAUGAAAAAUAAAUUUUUAUUGAUUGAA